CAGUAGCCGCGGGAAUACGUAGGUGGCAAGCGUUGUCCGGAAUUAUUGGGCGUAAAGGGCUCGCAGGCGGUUUCUUAGGUCUGAUGUGAAAGCCCCCGGCUCAACCGGGGAGUGUCAUUGGAAACCGGGAAACUUGAGUGCAGAAGAGGAGAGUGGAAUUCCACGUGUAGCGGUGAAAUGCGUAGAGAUGUGGAGGAACACCAGUGGCGAAGGCGACUCUCUGGUCUGUAACUGACGCUGAGGAGCGAAAGCGUGGGGAGUGAACAGGAUUAGAUACCCCUGUAGUCCCUGUCUCUUAUAC
rnacentral:rRNA from 1 species